GCGGUUGUGGUGGAAUUGGUAGACACGCCAGACUUAGGAUCUGGUGCUUUCGAGCGUGAAGGUUCGAGUCCUUUCAGCCGUA
rnacentral:tRNA from 1 species